UGGAGUCCAACUUCCCCCUCCCCAGCCCGCCCCCAGGAGUCCCGGCGACCUUCAACCGAGCCCAGGCAGCCAAGGAACCGGCGUAGGAGCCUCCGAAGCAGAUCCAGGGGCUGGAGGAGGAGACGUUGAAGAGGCGGGAGAGUGCGAGGCGGGCGGAGACCACAUCUGCCAGCCUGGGGUCAGAGGGGAGGCUCGGUCGGGCCUCCGGGAAUCUUUAAAGAUCCCCCCCGUUAUACGCGCGGGGGGAGGGGUAAUCCUGAGACUUGAAUGGAGGUGUUUCUGAGGGCACCCCAUACCCACAUGCGUUGCCUAGGCUAUAGGGAAGAGCCCUCGGAAAGCCUCCACUCUCCUUCCCUGCAGGAUAGAUGGUAGAGGGCAAAAUCUCCAGGGCAGUUUAAGUGGAAAUGGACAAACAGGGAAAUGGUGGAGGCAGCUCAAGAAAAGACGGGUCCCUAUGCUGGGUGGGUUAGAAGAGGAGACUCAGAGGCCAAAGGGAACGUUGGGGUGUGUCUAACAUACUCCUUUCCCUCCUAAGAACUUGCUUUCCUCCCCAAGCUUUCUGAAAUAGUUUGCAUUGGUGGUAUCCUAUGAAUUAAAAACCCUGUAAUCUGUGAAAAGAUUGAGAAACAGAAGCAAAGAGAUAGAUGGAGCAUGAGGCAGAGAAAGGCAGAGCCUGCUGCAGAGGGAUAGAGAGAAGCACUGAGUAGGAGGGCUAGGUCCUGUAGGGAACAAUAAAGCAGGAGAGAGACUGUGGGGGCCCUUCAUGGAGUAGAGGACACUGAGGAAGCAAGGGAAGGAAACAUACAAAUGAUCUGCAAGUGCCCACUCUUUGCAGAGAGAAGAGUUCAAAGACUCGAGGCAGCAAUGUGCUCAUGAGUCUGGACACCGAGUAGACCCCACCACAGUGCAUAACCUUCAGACUUCUCCACAAAUCAGAAGUGACUUGGGAUGUCAUCAAAAGUCUUUUUACACCAACAAGGAUAAACUAGUAUUUCAUAACCACUAAAAGAAGGGUCUUCUCCUGAGCGUAAAUGGUGAUCAUGACGAGUCUCGAUUGGAAAACGGGGUAUUCCUACAGCACUCUGUGCCCUUUCUCUCUUUUUUUUACAUGCCAUCCUCAUUUUAAUGCAAAUCCGUGAAAUCAGGGAGGGUGCCGUCAGAAAGCUCGUGUUAAAAAUAAACUUUUUCAUUAGA